rnacentral:rRNA from 1 species
AAGCGCCUAUGACCAGACUUGGGCCCGGUGAAUCAUCCAGCGUUCUCGCUGGUGCACUUUGCCGGGCACAGGCCAGCAUCAGUUUGGCGCGGGGGAUAAAGGCUUCGGGAAUGUGGCUCCCUCGGGAGUGUUAUAGCCCGUUGUGUAAUACCCUGCACCGGACUGAGGUACGCGCUCCGCAAGGAUGCUGGCGUAAUGGUCAUCAGCGA